GCGCGCAAAUUACCCAAUCCUGACACGGGGAGGUAGUGACAAUAAAUAACAAUACCGGGCGCGUUAGUGUCUGGUAAUUGGAAUGAGUACAAUCUAAAUCCCUUAACGGGGAUCCAUUGGAGGGCAAGUCUGGUGCCAG
rnacentral:rRNA from 1 species